UUUCAUGUAAUAAUAUUGUAAAUAAUGUUAAUUUUCUUGCACAGACUGAUCGUUUCGCUGCAUAAGACCUCAAUAUAUCGUCAGGAGUCACAGGGAUUCAUUUUGCUUUGCCUGUAUAUGCUUUUAUGACUCUCAAAGUGCUGGUAGCUAUUGAUUUGCAUUUUAUGAAUCACAAAGCAGCAUGGAUUCAUCCAAAAAUCUUCUUUUGUGUUCUACUGAAGCAAAAAGAGUCAUGUAUCUCGGAUGGCCUGAGGGUCAAUUAACUGCACAUUUUCAUUUAUGGGCGACCUAUCCAUUUGACACAGCCAGAGUCUAAAGAAUCCACAAUGCAUCCGAAUCCAGACUGACUUCCAUCUACGAGAGCCGUUUCUGUAUUCCAAUAGUUCCUCGACUCAAUCUGCCGAGAGUGGAAGGAAGUGAUCUCAUGUCCAUCACCGCUGAUGCAAAUCACUCUCUCUCUCAUGGGCAUGCUGGGAAAUCAGUCGGCCAUGUGUGAGCGCUGAAUUAAUAUGCUGAUCCAGGCUGGUUUUGCUGCUGAGACAGAGCUAGUCAUGUGACAACAAU
ensembl:lncRNA